rnacentral:lncRNA from 1 species
CAAGAAGGAAGUGGGCCCCUUCUCUCUUCCUCCAGAGUCACCAUGUGAGCCCAGGAAGACAGGAUGCUUGUCACUGGCAUCCAAUGAGAUAAGUCUUAUAAAAUAUAUAGAUUUAUGAUCAUUAAGACUGAACUAGCAGAUGAGAAAUCGUAGUCAUUGGCCAAGCAGCAUUUGUACCUAAUGUCUCUGUAUAUUAUUUUGGCCACACAUGUGGUGGGCAGAACUCAAGUGGCUGGCAGAAGAUUAAUCAUAACAGGAGGGGGAGGCUUAGUCCAAUGGAAACUCCAUGGAACCUAUGAGAGUAAUCCUAGCAAAGACUACUAGUAGUGGGGGACAUGGAACAUGUACUGGCCAUCUCCUAUAAGCAGGAAAGGCCUCAAGUGGAGGGAUUGUAACACCAACCAAGUCACAAACCCUUUGACCUACACUUUUCCUGCCUAAAGAGUAUUCUGGGACUAGAGCAUAGCAGAAUCCUCAUCAAAGAGACCAGAAAAACUUCAUCCAGCAACUGAUGGAAGCAGAUGCAGAGUCCAAUGGACAAAUAUUAGGGGGAUCUCCAGGAGUCCUGUGGAGGAGGCGGAGGAAGGAUCAGAGGAACCAGAGGUGUCAGGGACACCAUGAGAACAUGACCCACAGAAUCAACUGUCAGUAACUCAUGGGGGCUAAUAGAGAGCAAGGUGCCUGUAGGGGUUGGACCUAGGUCCUCAGAGGCUGACUUUCUGGGUGUUGUGGGAUUCCUACAGUGGGAGCAGAAUGGUUGGUUACCAACUAUUAAACAUACUCAUGGAACUCUUUCCCUCCUACUGGGUUGCUUCCUCCAGCCUUGAUUUGAUGGCAUGUGCCUGGUCUUAUUAUGCCAUAUUUGGUUGGUAUCCCUGGGAGGCCUGCUCUUUUCUGAGGAGAGAUGGAAGGGGUGUGGAUCUGGAGAAGAGAGGAGAAUUGGGGGAAAGAUUCGGGGGAGGAGAUGGAGGGGAAACUGUGGUUGGGAUGUACUAUAUGAGAGAAAAAUAAUAAUUAAAAAGAAAUAAAAGUCUGGCAUUCUUAACCAUCACAGAAAUGAAAAAAAGAAUGCUAAUUUUCUCUACUUAAUAUUCUCACAGAAACUGUUGCAAAAUAGUUCACAUUGGCGCCUGAGUGAUUCUCAAAGGCAGUUGAAAUUCUCAAAGGCCUUUGAUUUGGAAAAUAAACACACUGUUAUAAUAUUAUGUACUAUAUAGGAAGAAAUAUGCCUUUGAAGAUGAACUGUGGUGGUAUCUUGGUGGGAACUUCUGAUUUAAUUGGUUUAGGUUCUGGAAGGAGAGCUAUUUAUAUAUGUUAUACUUGUACUAACAAAAUGUUAGAAUAAGUAUUAUAACUAAAAAAAUAAAAACACAAUGACCUUGUGCUAAAGGUUUGUGCAACAAGUAUUUUAUAUGGUAGGAAGGUCAUUGCAGAAACAAACUGCUAGAAAUAUAUUGUAAGUUGGGUGGAUGAAUCAAUCAUUCAGGGCAUUAAGAUACUGUUCCAGGGUUUUUUUCCAACUUAUCAGACAAUGUAUAUCAUGGCUGUUUCCAAAUGAUUUAUGUUGGAAAAGGAAGAAACUGUGAGAAUUUUACCUCAUUGAAUAGGUUUUAUUUAUGUGGAUCUAGGUGUGAAGGUCAGUGGUAGAGUGCUUGCCUAGAAUAAACAGGGUCCUGAAAAGAUUUAAUACCUAAUAUGUGAGGUAUUCAUCACACUUGUUAAAACAUUAAUAGUAUCUAUAAGUCCCUAAUGGUAAAUCUUUUUCUUUAUGUGGUUAGUCUGAAAUGUUAUAUUUGUACAAGUAUUCUAAAGAGGUAGCAUUCCAGACAUUUAUGUUCAAAAAAGAUGAUGGUAGGCUGUGUGAACUAAGUCAAUACCAUCAUGUGAAUCUUCUGGUGUGAGAUAACCCCUAACUCACAUGUUUACUGCUUAAUAAAAAUUGAUAUAUUGUUCAAGAAGGCAUUCUCAAAAUACAAUAUAGACAAUUAAAAAGUAAAAUAAAUGAAACAGAUUUAUUAUUCAAGAACUAAUAUAAAUAUAAUUGGAAUAGCUAUGAUGUGAAGAAAGAAACUAGGGCUGAAGAGAUGGCUCAGAGGUUAAGGCAUUGAUUGCUCUUCCAGAGGUCAUGAAUUCAAUACCGAGCAACCACAUGUUUGUUCACAACCAUCUAUAAUGAGAUCCAAUGCCCUCUUCUGGUGUGCAGGCAUACAGACAGACAGGCACUAUAUAGAUAACAAAUAAAUAAAUAAAUCUUUAAAAAAAAAGAAAGUAGAAUUAAAGUCAAAAGAUACUAAUUGAGAAAAAUAAACAAUAAUUUACAUGGAGAAGAGAACCAGGCAGUAAAUCAAUUCAGGUGGGAAAAUUAUUUCCACACAAUUAAUAAUAAAAAAACCCUAAAAACAUGUAAAACCAAAAUAACAAAAUGAAGGAGAAACAGAGUUAUCAAUGAUCAAAGUAGGGGCUUCUAUACUGUUUUCCAAUAAUUGUUAAAAUAAAUAAAUGCUAAGAAUAUAUGCAUAUACAUAAAUAAAUAACAAUGAAUUGUCAUGGAACAAAGCCUAUUCGGUAAUCAUCAAAUACAUGAACUCUACAUGUUUCUUCUAAAGUACAUGAAAAUAUAUAUUCCACUGAGCCAGAAAGCUGCUAGUAAUAAGAGAGUCUGUAUCUUAGCCAGUAUUCUAUUACUGUGAAGAGACAUCAUGACUAAGUCAACUCUUAUGAAAAAAGCAUUUAAUUGUAAGCUUCCAUACAGUUUCAGAGAUGUAAUCCAUUAUCAUCAUUGUGGGGAGCAUGAAGGCAUGCAGGCAGGUGCUGGAACAGUAGCUGUGAGCUAUAUUCUACCAUGGGCUGAGGGAGUAAGUGACACACUUUCUCCAAUAAGGCCACAUCUAAUCCUUUUCAAAUAAUGUCAAACUCUAUUAUGAGUCAGCAUAACUAUACUAUUUAUAGUUCUUGGGAUUUGUGCAUAUUUUGUCACAUAGAAUUUUAAUAAAACUAUAGUAUACCAAAUCAAGAUGGUUAAUUAUAAUUUCAUACAAAUUACACUAAUUCAAAAGUUUCACAAUUCAUAUUCUUGGUAUUAUUUUGAUAUUUGUUUACACACUGGUUUCAGUUGUCUUCAGGGAAAGUGAAACUGCUUUCAAAUGUUUGUGACAUUGGUAUCAAAGAAUCUAUAAAAUUGUUGUUUAUACUUAUAAAAACUAAAAUGCAAAUUAAAAAACUAAAAUACAAAGCUAAUAUGGAAAAACUAAGCAUUCAAAUAUAUGAGACUAUGGGGGCCAAUCUCAUUCAAAAUACCACAUUCAACUGUCCAAUAGACUUGAAGCCAUGCCAUAAUGUUAAAAAAAAUCAUUCAGUCAAAUUAAAAAAUCCCCACAGUCUAUCAUAGUCUCAACACUGUUUAAAAGUCCAAAGUUGAGUCUGUUCUGAGACUCAUGACAAUCUCCUAAAUAUAUCCUCCUGUAAAAUCAAAAUCAAAAAGCAGAUCACAUACUUCAGACAGAAAGGGAGAGAGAGAAACACUGAUUAAUUUGAAUGAAUUUUGACCACAGAAAAGAUAUAUCUAGAAAAUUCAAAUUGCUUAAAAAAUAAUGAAUUUCAAAAUAGCCCAAGAGUGAAAAGGCUAUCAAAUGGAAAUUAGAAAGUUAGCACUGUUAAGUUUAAGCUGAAUAAUAAUGAAUGUGUAGCAUGUUAAGACUUGUGAUGAACUUGUAGAGAUCUGAUUGAUUAUAAUGAUAUUUAUUUCUUUAAAUGAAUAUAUUAAAAAUAAUUGCCUGAAAUUUAUUCAUAGAAUACUUACCUCAAGAAAAUAAAUGAAACAUCCAAGAAAAUAGAAUAACAGAAGUAGCAAAAUGUAAAAAUGAAAACAGUAAAGAUGAACACCAUUUUUAAAUAAUGAUUUACAUUUGUGUGUGUGUGUGUGUGUGUGUGUGUGUGUGUGUGUGUGGGUGGGUGUGUGGGUGUGUGUGUGCACGCGCGCGCAUGUACACACAUGUCUGUGCCACUAUCUAUAUGAGAAGUCCAGUGAACAAUGUUCAGGAGUCUGUUCUCUCCUGCCAACAUGUAAAUCCUGGGCAUCAAACUCAGGUCCUUGGCAGCAACCAACUUUACCAUCUCUCUACUCAAAACUGAACAUUUGAAUGCAGAUGUUCCCUCAAAUGUGAUAGAUUUACUUCUUGAUAAUUCCACUGUUAGUUUAAAUAAAAACACAUUUGUUACACCUAACUUCCAAAUAUCACAGUGUACCCUAGACUACAAGAAGCUCACAGAAAAGUUACAUUAGGAUACAGUUAGGCAAAAAAACAACAGGCAGAAUGCUUAUCUUAUGACAAAAUAUUUAGCAUUUCAUGCUUGUUGUUAAGUAUUAUACUGUAAGUAGAAAUCAGAAUGACUGUAAGAAUGUUCCCUGUUACUAUACCAACUGAGAACACAUUGACCUGAAAGAUAUGUGAAGCACUGAACUAAAUUGGCUCCAGGAUGAUGCAGGUAUUCAGCAGUGGGUACAUCCAUCAGUGACUGGUAGCUGCAUUUGACUCUCAUGCCGAGCAUCUUAAGCACAAAUAACUAUCCAGAAAAUAGAUCAAAUGGGAAAGCUCAUGGUAGCACUAUCAUUAAAUGAAAACAACAUAAGUCAAGCUAUAAUAAAUUUGGGGAAAUUGCUAUAAUCUAAUAUCUAAAGAUGGUCUCUAAAAUAAGAAGAGAGAAAGAAAGAACUAAUUAAAACUUUAAAACAUGGAUAUACAAAUCACCUGUUUAGAGAAUUAAGAAAAAAAGUAUGGAGAGCAUGCAUUUAUAAAAGGACAUGAUGAAUGUUUACAUAAAUAAAUCUGAAACUAUAUAAGAGACUGAAAGGAAAAUUUAAAAAAAAUUAUCUACAAAGAAAAAAUAAAAAAUGUGAAUAUUUCUUAUGGAUUAAAAAGUUUUUAAUCUGUACAAAUAUUCUUUAUUCAAGGAACUUUACCAGUAAAAUGCCAUAUGACUCAAACUUAGAACAAAAAAAGAUAUUUUCAACUGCUUUUUAAUGCCACAAUAAACUUAGAAUCAUUUUACUUUCUAACAAAAUAUCAAGUCAACCCAAAAAGCCAAUAGAAGAAAUAGGGCUUCACAACUAAGCUAAGUUCAUCUCAUGAUUUCAAUGUGGAGAUAUAUUUAAAAGUCAAAUAGGCCUCUAGGAAGAUGGAACAGAUGCAGUCUUCUAUAUUUCUCCUUGCUCCCCAAAGAUGCUAUCAUCCACCAAACAACAGGAAGCAGUCUAGAGAACACAAUCCCCACAUUCUCAAGAGAGCCUUCUUUCCAGCACCAAAGACAACAUGCAGAGAGUAACAGACUGAGUGGUUGUUAAUCCCAAAAUGAAAGGAGAAAGACCACCAACACAAAUCAUGAUGUCCAAAUUAAUUAAAGCAAGCAAUUAAGUAAAGCAAGUGGUUUUAUUUGUGUACAUGGCUGCCUCACCAUAAGGCAGGGUUCAAAAGGACAGCAUUGGAUGUGGAAAAGCUUACUUGAAAUGUUGACAUUAUUGGAAAAAGCCACCAAAACAACAACAACAAAAAAUACCACAGAUAAUAAAAAUGCCCCUAUUAUAAAGGAAUUUAUCACAUCAAAGUUAAUGAUUUUUCAUCCAGUAACAAUGCCACUCUUUGGCUGUCAAGUUAACUCAGUUUCAAUUUAACUGAACCACUCUAUCAUCCCAUCAGAGUCACAGACAGAGACGAAUUAAGGUGAUUCACAGGCUGAGCAUACUAUGUGCCCUGGAUACGAAUUGAUCAUCAGUCCUCACUUUCUCCUUCUACCUGCCUCCUUCCCUCCAUCCCUCUCUCACUUUCUCAUUAUUUUGAGUUAUACUUUUUAUUGCAACAAUGUAUUAUCCAAUUU